GUGUGUGUUACUACGUUCAGAAGAACUGUAUCUCCAGUUCCUUUGUUUGGUUUUUGCUGCUUCGUGAAUAAUGGCUGGACGACGUCUCGCGUUCAACUCGCCUUCAACUCCUCUCCGCGGUCACCAACUUUCGCCCAGUCCGCAGACAGACGAGAAGAAGCUGCUGAAUGCUCUCCGUGGAUCGUCUCGUCAACUCCAACAACAAACUGCCGAUAUCAACGAGCGGUUGGGGACUCUGCGGGUUUCUGUCCAUGGAGGAGAGGAACCGACUCAAAGAAGAGGAGACGGGCGCACAAUCCCAAGAUAGCGGAAGCGGUGCGCCGUCUUCACAACUCCGAGACGAACUACUGGCGCUACGAACCGGAGCAAGGACUAAUCUCGCCUCAUAAUGAGGUGGUGACCUCGUAUUUGCUCCGGGAAAAGUCCAGAUUUAGACGACGUCAUUGUGUGUAAGUGACACUGUUUCUCCUUCCUUGUUAACUGUUACUGUGACUUGCGUUUGAUUGCGUUGAUCAGCCGGACACUCAUUGCGGGCGGAAGCUGCGAAGGAUUCAGCGCGGAGUCGAGCGAGAAGAAAGAGGCUGCUGGAAUCAAGACAAAGUGUGCUGGCUGAUGACGAGGUGGAACUCUGGAAAUCCGCCACCGUGGAGCUCACGUCGGGGUGGAUUGUACGGUCGCCACACACACACACGAGGCGCCUGCACAACAGACCUGCCUCGGAAAACACGGCGCCAGUGACGGUCUACAACCCCGAGGAGGCAAACGCACAGUUUACUGAGCUGUAGUUUUUUUAAACCGCCGUUACCCAAGUGUGGGCAGAUCCUCACUUUGUAUGUAGUUGUUGUUUGUGUGUUGUUAAUAAAGCUCUUUCUUUGCAUAAACAUGUGUCAAAUGUUCAUUUUCUCUAUAAAUUCAUUGAUGUCCUGGUUGGUAUCCUAAUAAUAGUAUUGUAUCCUACAUUGGAUAACCAUGAAAUGAAUAUACAGCAUAAUAUGAAUAUAUAAAUAAAAUGAGGCGGGUGACCAAUAGUUACAGAUCUGCCAACCAAUCACGAGUGAUUGAAAGUUGUGGUUUCAACCAAUCAUGAACAAGGAAACUCAAGCCUGGUCUGCCCAGGUGUGGUUUUGCUGCCAAUCACGAGUGAUUUUAUUCGUUAGUAAGUUGUGGUUUCAUCCAAUAAGGAGUAAGGAUAUUCAAGCCCGCUCGGCCACCCGCAGUUUCGCUGCAUUCAUAUGCUAAUUCGGGCCAUUCGCACCUCCGCCAGCUCUCCGCAUACGUC
ensembl:lncRNA